rnacentral:piRNA from 1 species
UGGUGGAAACUGAAAGCUUGACUGUGG